AAUCCCUUCAAGAGAUAAUAUAAAUCAUGAUUUUUCUCAAGUGGUAAAGUAUAACAUUUUCCAAAUCCCAAUCAUGCUUACAUGCUUCGAUGAAAUAACUUAAGAUCAUGUUUCAUUCAUACUUACAUGCUUCGAUGAGACGCCUUAAGAUCAUGUAGUGAGAAAUUUCAGUUCUGCGAAGUACCUGUAGGUCUUCCAAUCAUAUCGGGUGUUCAAAGGAAUGGUGUUUAUUUCUCUAGUCACUCCCCAAUACCCUCAUGUUCCCUGCAGAAGUAUGUCUCGCAACUGCACUGCAGUCGGCUUCCAUGUUGACCCUGAAGACGGGAAGGGGUACUCCAUUCGCACGAAGUACCUGCGCUGCCUUGGUAUCUUCACCGAGAACUUAAUCAGAGCGGCUGCGCAGCUCGCUUGAACUUGAUCAGGGUUCCAGAUGAGAGGGGCGAGCCAGAGCUGUCUGCGCAGCUAAACAACAACAGAGGAGAGAGACGGCCAGAGCUGGCUGUGCAGCUAAACAAGGCCCCUAUUGCAACACGCUGUACCCUGCUUGAAGUCUUUGUGAUCGGCUGUGAAGGCCGAGUCAGGCUACAUGGGAUCGGGUGCUAAUGUCGUCGCCUAAUUCAGGUUUGAGUGUAAUAAGGUAAAUCUUGAAGAUCACCACCUGCGCUGCUUUCGAAGAACUUCGCCCUGUGCUGCCUUCGAAGAUUACCACCCUUUGCUGUCCUUGGAAUCCAUCGCUUGUGCUGCCCUCGAAGACUACCAUACUGCGCUGACCUCGAGGAUUACCACCAUGUCCGCGCCGAAUCAAUUUUAGCUUCUCCCCGAAGACCACCGCCUGCUCUGCCCUCAAAGGCCCCCGCCUGCGCUGCCCUCGAAGAUUAUCACCUUGUGCUGCCCUCAAAGGCCCCCGCCUGCGCUGCCUUCAGAGGACUCCACCUGCGCUGCCCUCAAAGGCCCCCGCCUGCGCUGCACUCUUCAGCGCUGUCAUCUUUGUCAAUCCGCAUCGAGGGCUAUAUC
rnacentral:lncRNA from 1 species